rnacentral:tRNA from 1 species
GAGAUAAUAGUAUAAAUAUAAAAGUAUAAUUUAUUUUCAAUAAAUGGGUUUUU